AGCAGCAAAAGGCCACCACCUCCACCACACAGCAGGAGUUGACAUCGUGUGCGUCCUUACGGGAUGUGGCAUUCUGGCCAAAAACGCACAACCGCAAUCUAAUCACAAGGAAAUACCGGCGAACCCAAAUCCAGGGGCAUUCGACAGAACAAGCAGCUUUAUAAUGCCACAAAAAUGUCAAAGUUAGGAAAGACAAAAACGGCUGAGGAACUGCUUCAGACUACAGGACUGAAGGGGUGGGACAGGGCCCUGCUCUGAAGACGUUCCGACAACCGGCAGAGUGACGGACUCCACAUCACGCAAGUUUCGUAGGAAGGGCCACCCUCUUUGGGGCCUUUUCCUAAGAAACCUGUGCCGCAGCCACGUUUCCCAAAAGCAGCCCUAUCAGAUGGGGGAAACACGAAGAGUUCCAACCCUCCCUGGAGACACUUCGACAGCCGUCAGCAAACCACAGGCGUGAUGAGACGGCAGAGCGACUGAGGCCGCAGACCGGGGUGUCGGAGGCAGGUCGCGGUGUGCUCUCUGUGAUGCCUCCCGGAAGGGCAGGGAAGGAGAGCCUCUCCCCUCGGCGCUGGAGGCUGUCCGAGGAUUGGCUGUGGGCAGACGCUGUGGGAGAACAGGUCUGGGGGACAGAGGGACUGGAGAGGACCCUGCCCCCAGCCGACUGGAGCACAGCAGGAAACGAUGGCUGCUCUGACUUCCGUCUGUGGCACCGUCCCCGCCUCCCCACCCAGUAGGACAGUGUUAGAUCAUGGGGAGGGGAUGAUGGGGGCAGAGCCCCAGAAGAGAGACCUGGUGGUGGUGUUUCAGGCCCUCGUGGAGCUCGGGUAGCAGCUCCUUAUCUACAGGAAUGUUCUAGCGCAGCAACGGUCAUACCGAUGCCUCCCAGCUGAACAGUGGCCCUGUGCACACGUUCCUUCUCUCCGCAGUUCAGACACGCAGGCCGGUGUGCGCCUGGCUGGGACAGCUCUGCCUUGUCCGUCAAUACCCUGAUGAUCUCCUGCAAGGUUUUCUCCAGUCUUUUCUUUAAGCACAGUGGGCUGAUCCUUCAUGGACGAUCUGAGCUCUCCCGUGACAGUCCACGCAUCUUCCUCCUCCUCCCUGGAACAACUGCAGCAGCCCGUGGUGCACACACACCACGGCUCACUAAGCACUCCCCACAUAGGAUUGCUGCAGUGAACGUUUUAUGCACAUGUAUGAGCACUGUCUAAGCCAGAUGCCUGGAGGUGGAAAUGCUAAGUCAAAGGGAUGUGACAACCUGGUGGACCUGCCAUGUCUGAGUCACACCUGCACCCACCGUGCAUGAGCGUCCAGGAAGCUCUCUGUGCACAAGAGUCUGGCAGAAACUGAAGCGUCUGUCUCAGCUUGCAAACACCAGCUCUAGCUGGGGUAGCUGCAAUGGGGCAACUCUCUGUGGUCUUAGCUCCUGACACCUAUAGAGGCCUCACCCAGCACAUCUAGACAUGCAGAAGGCGCCCAACUCCUAUUUAACGGUGGCUGCCAGACCACUGCAAAAACCACAGCAACGGCAGCAAUGAAGUAGGAAAAGAAAGAAAGCCAUAACAGUGCCGAGAACAGGAGGGGGAAGGAAGCAGCGAAUGAGAGACUACAAUUCUCAACGUUAGGAAGCAGAAGGCAGCGUGUAAGAGGAUGAAACGACGGUGGAGGAAGCUGCGGCCUGGAGCACACGACGGCCUCCAUGGAGGGCACUGCCAGGCUUGCCACAGGGACGCAGGAUGGACACCUGCUCCAGCUAACGGGUUACAGGGGACAGGAGGGGAAACAAGGCUGGAAACUGGAAUCAACUAACGGGCUGUCUACAGAACAGCUGCGCUGGCUGGCUCCGUCCACGGUCACACCUUCAACCCAGGGGCAGGCACUUAACGCCAGACGAAUCGGAAAGGCGGCCUCCCAAAACAUUAAGCCAACGGACUGGAGCAGGGCUGCUAAAGUUUUCUGUAAAAAGCCAGACAGUGAAUAUUUUAGGCUUUGCAGGCCACAUAGGGUCUCUAUAUCUAAUGUUACUCCCCGUUUGGGAGGGAGGGUAGGUGUGGUGCCCCCAGGCUGCCAAACCGCACACCUUACACAAGGCCUGCCAGUCAAAAAGCCCCACCCCAUCCACACAGCACCACGGCAGCUGCCCACUUCGGAGAGGCGUAUGGUGGAAACAGCCCUACCAAUGCAACAGUGGACAAAACCUACAUGAGCUCCCUGGAAUACUGGCCUGGUGCUUCGUUUUUAAAUAUGAAUGAGCCAACAUGAAUCCCUAGACAUUGAGGCAAAACCAGAGCCUGAAAAAGAAUGACCGAGAUAAAGAACUGGAACCAGAUCCUAGGGGAAAUGGAAUAAUUUGGCAGCCAGGAGAUAAUUUUAACAACGAUUUCAACUAGUGUGUCAGGGAAAGUCAACCCCAUUUAGGUUCUGUAAAACAAGAGCAAAAUGCUGUGAGAAUGAAAUAAUCAGAGUACGAGAGAGAAUUAAAAAUAUGAUUGCCAAAUUAACACUUUCCCCAGGAGGUCUGGAAGACAAAGUGAAGACAACCUUCCUGUCUGUAGAAGAAAAGACACAGAUGGAAAAAGAGAGGGAACAGACAGGCACAUAGGAUCAACCUGGAAGUCUAACAGCUAAUAGGAUUUCCAGCAAGAGGAAACAUGGGAAAUGGAGGGAAGGAACUUAUCAGAGAGAUAACGGGAAAAAAUGUUCAGAACAGAAGAACGCCACAAGACUUUAAACUGAAAGGGCCCAAGAGUACCCAGAGCACUGAAUAAGGGAAAAAACCCAACCUAUACACAGCCUCACAAAGUUACAGAACACCAAAGAUGAAGAGAGCAUACUGUACACCUCCAAAGAAGAAAAUAAAGCAAAAACAAAAAAAUCCCAGGUUACCUACAAGGAAAUGAGAAUCAAACUAACAUCAGAUAACUUACUAGCAACGACAGAUGCUUUAAGUCAAUAGAUCAAUGCCUUUAAUGUUUUGAAGGUAAAUAAAUUUAAAUUCUGUAUUCAGUUAAACUAUCAAUCAAAAGUGCAAGCAAAAAAAAAAAAAGGAUUCAAAAUUUCCUUCCACUAUUCUUUCUGAGAAAGUGCUUAAGAAUGUGCUUUAGGGGCUGGGCGCGGUGGCUCACACCUGUAGUCCUAGCACUCUGG